rnacentral:rRNA from 1 species
CUGGCUCAGGAUGAACGCUGGCGGCGUGCCUAACACAUGCAAGUCGAACGAAGCAUACGGACCGGAGAUUCGUCGAAGGAUCGUAUGACUUAGUGGCGGACGGGUGAGUAAUGUAUGAGCAACCUGCCUUUCAGAGGGGGACAACAGUUGGAAACGACUGCUAAUACCGCGUAACGUAUCGUGGGGGCAUCCUCGUGAUACCAAAGGAGCAAUCCGCUGAAAGAUGGGCUCAUAUCUGAUUAGCUUGUUGGCGGGGUAACGGCCCACCAAGGCGACGAUCAGUAGCCGGACUGAGAGGUUGAACGGCCACAUUGGGACUGAGAUACGGCCCAGACUCCUACGGGAGGCAGCAGUGGGGAAUAUUGGGCAAUGGGCGAAAGCCUGAACCCCAGCAACGCCGCGUGAAGGAAGAAGGUCUUCGGAUUGUAAACUUCUUUUAUGAGGGACGAAGGACGUGACGGUACCUCAUGAAUAAGCCACGGCUAACUACGUGCCAGCCGCUGC